GUCCACGCCGUAACGAUGAUGACUAGCUGUCGGGCUCUUGGAGUUUCGGUGGCGCAGCUAACGCGUUAAGUCAUCCGCCUGGGGAGUACGGCCGCAAGGUUAAACUCAAGAAUUGACGGGGCCUGCACAAGCGGUGGAGCAUGUGGUUUAAUUCGAAGCAACGCGCAGAACCUUACCAGCGUUUGACAUGGUAGGACGGUUUCCAGAGAUGGAUUCCUUCCCUUACGGGACCUACACACAGGUGCUGCAUGGCUGUCGU
rnacentral:rRNA from 1 species